CCUACGGGUGGCAGCAGUGGGGAAUAUUGGGCAAUGGGCGCAAGCCUGACCCAGCAACGCCGCGUGAAGGAAGAAGGCCCUCGGGUUGUAAACUUCUUUUAUUCGGGACGAAACAAAUGACGGUACCGCAUGAAUAAGUCACGGCUAACUACGUGCCAGCAGCCGCUGCAAUACGUCGGUGGCAAUCGUUAUCCGGAUUUACUGGGUGUAAAGGGCGUGUAGGCGGGAGAGCAAGGCAGACGUGAAAUUCCAGGGCUCAACCCUGGAACUGCGGUUGAAACUGUUCGUCUUGAGUGCUGGAGAGGCAGGCGGAAUGCGGGGUGUAGCGGUGAAAUGCGUAGAUAUACGGAGGAACACCAGUGGCGAAGGCGGCCUGCUGGACAUUAACUGACGCUGAGGCGCGAAAGCGUGGGGAGCGAACAGGAUUAGAUACCCCAGUAGUC
rnacentral:rRNA from 1 species